AAUAAAAAAUUUAAUAGUUUUUAUUGUUUUAGAAUUAUUUAAUAUAAAUAAAUUUAAUUUUAAAAGUUUUUGUAUUGUUUAAAGAUCAAAUAAUUUUUUUUAUAGGUAAGUAGUAUUGAGAAAGAAAAUUGAGAAAUUUUUUUGUUUAUAAAAAAGUAGUAUUAAUUAUAUGUACCUUUUGUAUCAGGGUUUAUUAAAUAAGAAUAAAAAAUUUUAUGUUCUCGAAUUUAAAGGAGCUAAAUUAGUAUGAAAUUUUUUGUUUUAUAAAGAUUUUAAAUAUUAAUUUAGAAAUGAAAUGUUAUUCGUCUUUAAAGAUAUCUAGUUUUUUAAGAAAUAAAUUUAAUUUAUAUAUUAAUUAAUUAAUUUUUUAAUUUUUAAAUGAAUUAAUAAUUAAUAUAAAUAUAUCAAGGGAUAAGCUUUGAUUUAUGAAAAUUAUAAUUAUAUAAAAUAUUUAUUAGUUGUAGAUUUAGAAAUAGUUAUCAAUAAAAAAUUUGUAUUAAUUUAUAAGUUUAUAAAAAAUAUUUAUUAGAAUUUAAUUAGAAUAUUAAAAUUUAAAUUUUAAUUUUAAAAAUUUAGUAAUAAUGAUAAAAUUAGUAUAAUAAAAUUGUUUAAAUAUAAUUUGUAAAAAGGUUAUUUUAAGGAAUUCGGCAAAAAUAAUGUUCACCUGUUUAACAAAAACAUGUCUUUUAGAAUAUAAUUUAAAGUCUAACCUGCCCACUGAAUUUAUUUGAAGGGCCGCGGUAUUUUGACUGUGCAAAGGUAGCAUAAUCAUUAGUCUUUUAAUUGGAGGCUUGUAUGAAUGGUUGGAUGAAACAUUAACUGUCUCAAUUUAAUAAAAAUAGAAUUUAAUUUUUAAGUUAAAAAGCUUAAAUGUAAUUAGAGGACGAGAAGACCCUAUAGAUCUUUAUAAUUAAUUAUUUAUUAUUAAUUUAGUAAAUUAAUUUUUAUUAAUUGAUUAAUUAUUUUAUUGGGGUGAUAAAUAAAUUUAGUAAACUUUAUUUUAUAAAAACAUUUAUUUAUGAAUAUUUGAUCCAUUAUUAAUGAUUAAAAGAUUAAGUUACCUUAGGGAUAACAGCGUAAUUUUUUUAGAGAGUUCUAAUCGAUAAAAAAGUUUGCGACCUCGAUGUUGAAUUAAAGGUUAAUUUUAGGUGCAGAAGUUUAAAGUUUUGGUCUGUUCGACCAUUAAAUCUUUACAUGAUUUGAGUUCAAACCGGCGUGAGCCAGGUUGGUUUCUAUCCUUAAUAAAAUAAAAUAUUUUAGUACGAAAGGACCAAAUAUUUAAAAAAUUUUUUUGAAUUAGAAUAAUAUUAAU
rnacentral:rRNA from 1 species